ensembl:lncRNA LINC02931 long intergenic non-protein coding RNA 2931
CCCAGUCUGCCUGGCCCAGCCAACACUUCACCUUCUUUCUUAGCCAGUUUGCUGGGAGAACACCCUACCGGUAGCACAUCUUACCGUAUUCACCCCCUCCCAUCAAACUCGCCCCAAUUCUCUCUCCACAUCCAGAGCUCUCUCCCCAGGUUGGAAGGUCCUUCCCCAGACACCUGAAGAGAUGGGGGAAGGAGAAUCAAUUUGGAGAGCCAAGUUUGCCUGACAUUUUGGAGCACACAUUUACCCAGGACCCCAAGUUCCUUGUAGCUGCUAAAUGCUGUACUAGUUCUAAAAUGUAAAUUAGCUUCAAGGCAAGUGGAGAGAAGCCUUAGACUAUUCUGAGAUAUUUGUUCAUUCAUUUCUUUGCUUUGAGAAAGAAUCCUCCCAACGUGAUGGGAAAGAUAUCUCUGGGCCACAUUAUGGCUUCUGGCAGCAACUCUCAUCCUUAGUGCCUAGAUCUGGAGCCCCCACCAACCCUUUGUCCCCAAGUUACAUUUCCUUAGUCCAGGCCUAUUCCACCAUUUCAUCUUCUUUCUCCCUUCCUCGCUGAGGGGCAGAGGCCGCCUUUCUUUUGCCCAAGCUGAGAGGGAGAAUUCCUGAUCCCUAGGAAAAAUGCUGUCUCCACUCCCAAGGAACUUUGUGUAGUUUAGGAAUUGCAUUUUGUAAAAUCAAAUUGCCUGUUGCAA